UAUGUGAUCGUCUCUCGCAUAUCAAUAAGCGGAGGAAAAGAAACUAACAAGGAUUCCCCUAGUAACGGCGAGUGAAGCGGGAAGAGCUCAAAUUUGAAAUCUUAAAGGGUUUCCCUUUACGAAUUGUAGUUUAAAGAAGUGUUUUCUGUUGAGGUUUUGGUAAAAGUUCUUUGGAAUAGGACAUCAUAGAGGGUGAGAAUCCCGUAUUUGACCUUUACUUUCAACUUUGUGAUUACACUUUCAAAGAGUCGGAUUGUUUGGGAAUGCAGUCCAAAAUGGGUGGUAAAUUUCAUCUAAAGCUAAAUAUUGGCGAGAGACCGAUAGCGAACAAGUACCGUGAGGGAAAGAUGAAAAGAACUUUGAAAAGAGAGUUAAACAGUACGUGAAAUUGUCAAAAGGGAAGCGUUUGACACCAGUGUUGUUUUUCUGAAAAUCAAUUAAAGAACUGUUUAUGCUAAGUUGUUUAGACUUUAUCAGCUAACUGUUUAGUUUUGAGCUUUUCUUUAAUGCACUUUUCAGUUAACAAGUCAACAUCAAUUUCUUUUGCUGUAAAAAAGCUUGAGGAAGGUGGCUUGAGAUUCGUCUUAAGUGUUUAUAGCCUCUUGCCUAUGCAGUCGGAGAGAUUGAGGUCUGCAGCGUAGAUCCUUCGGGGCUAAAUGCAUUUGUGCUAAGUUAUAGCAUUUUAUAGACAACUUGUUGACUAUGAUUUGUCUUGUAGCUUACUCGCUUAUGUUAUUUUACCUACGCUUAGGAUGUUGAGUAGCGACAUACGCAC
rnacentral:rRNA from 1 species